rnacentral:rRNA from 1 species
GAUGAACGCUGGCGGCGUGCCUAAUACAUGCAAGUCGAGCGAACGGACGAGAAGCUUGCUUCUCUGUUGUUAGCGGCGGACGGGUGUGUAACACGUGGAUCACCUCCCUAUAAGCCUGAGAUAACUUCGGGAAACCGGAGCUAAUACCGGAUAAUAUUUUGAACCGCAUGGUUCGAAAGUGAAAGACGGUCUUGCUGUCACUUAUAGCUGGAUCCCCGCUGCAUUAGCUAGUUGGUACGGUAACGGCUUACCAAGGCAACGAUGCAUAGCCGACGUGAGAGGGGGAUCGGCCACACGGGAACUGGAACACGGUCCAGGCGCCUACGGGAGGCCGCAGUAGCGAACGGGCGGCAACAGGCGAAAGCAUGACGGAGCAGCGCCGAGUGAGUGAUGAAGGUCUUCGGAUCGUAAAACUCUGUUAUUAGGGAAGAACAGAUGUGUAAGGAACUGAGCACAGCUUGACGGUACCUAAUCAGAAAGCCACGGCUAACUACGUG